rnacentral:rRNA from 1 species
GCUUGCUGGGCGGAUUAGUGGCGAACGGGUGAGUAAUACGUGAGUAACCUGCCCUUGACUCUGGGAUAAGCCUGGGAAACUGGGUCUAAUACUGGAUACUACCUCUUACCGCAUGGUGGGUGGUGGAAAGGGUUUUACUGGUUUUGGAUGGGCUCACGGCCUAUCAGCUUGUUGGUGGGGUAAUGGCUCACCAAGGCGACGACGGGUAGCCGGCCUGAGAGGGUGACCGGCCACACUGGGACUGAGACACGGCCCAGACUCCUACGGGAGGCAGCAGUGGGGAAUAUUGCACAAUGGGCGGAAGCCUGAUGCAGCGACGCCGCGUGAGGGAUGACGGCCUUCGGGUUGUAAACCUCUUUCAGUAGGGAAGAAGCGAGAGUGACGGUACCUGCAGAAGAAGCGCCGGCUAACUACGUGCCAGCAGCCGCGGUAAUACGUAGGGCGCAAGCGUUGUCCGGAAUUAUUGGGCGUAAAGAGCUCGUAGGCGGUUUGUCGCGUCUGCUGUGAAAGCCCGGGGCUCAACCCCGGGUCUGCAGUGGGUACGGGCAGACUAGAGUGCAGUAGGGGAGACUGGAAUUCCUGGUGUAGCGGUGAAAUGCGCAGAUAUCAGGAGGAACACCGAUGGCGAAGGCAGGUCUCUGGGCUGUUACUGACGCUGAGGAGCGAAAGCAUGGGGAGCGAACAGGAUUAGAUACCCUGGUAGUCCAUGCCGUAAACGUUGGGCACUAGGUGUGGGGGACAUUCCACGUUUUCCGCGCCGUAGCUAACGCAUUAAGUGCCCCGCCUGGGGAGUACGGCCGCAAGGCUAAAACUCAAAGGAAUUGACGGGGGCCCGCACAAGCGGCGGAGCAUGCGGAUUAAUUCGAUGCAACGCGAAGAACCUUACCAAGGCUUGACAUUCACCGGACCGCCCCAGAGAUGGGGUUUCCCUUCGGGGCUGGUGGACAGGUGGUGCAUGGUUGUCGUCAGCUCGUGUCGUGAGAUGUUGGGUUAAGUCCCGCAACGAGCGCAACCCUCGUUCUAUGUUGCCAGCACGUGAUGGUGGGGACUCAUAGGAGACUGCCGGGGUCAACUCGGAGGAAGGUGGGGAUGACGUCAAAUCAUCAUGCCCCUUAUGUCUUGGGCUUCACGCAUGCUACAAUGGCCGGUACAAAGGGUUGCGAUACUGUGAGGUGGAGCUAAUCCCAAAAAGCCGGUCUCAGUUCGGAUUGAGGUCUGCAACUCGACCUCAUGAAGUCGGAGUCGCUAGUAAUCGCAGAUCAGCAACGCUGCGGUGAAUACGUUCCCGGGCCUUGUACACACCGCCCGUCAAGUCACGAAAGUUGGUAACACCCGAAGCCGGUGGCCUAACCCCUU